rnacentral:lncRNA from 1 species
GACAAUGGGCAACCCGCAGCCCUCGCGGCUGCUCUCUCUCUGGAGUAGCCAUUCUUUUAUUCCUUUACUUUUCCUGAUAAACUUGCUUUCACUUUACAGACUUGCCCUGAAUUAUUUGUUGCACGAGAUCAAAGAACCCUCUCUUGGGGUCUGGGUCGGGACCGCUUUUCAGUAACAUCUUUCUGGUGAUCACGGAAGAGACUAUAGUGUGGAAACACCCGACCCAAAGGCUAACUUUGAGCCCGGUGUGGUGGCACGCACCUGUAAUCCCAGCUACUCAGGAGGCUGAGGCAGGAGAAUCGCUUGAACCCCAGCGACAGAGGUUGCAGUGAGCUGAGAUCGCACCACUGCACUCCAGCCUGAGCGACAGAGCAAGACUCUGUCUCAAAAACAACAACAACAAACAACAACAACAAAAAACCAAAGGCUAACUUUGGGUAAGUGAUGGGGUUCAGUAACAUCUUUCUGGCAAAUCAUGGAAGGGACGAUACUGAAGAAACCCCCGACCCAAAGGAAAUAGACUGGAGCACUGAUUGGCCGACUUUGGACGUGUCCUGAAUGCUGUCCCUUUCCAGACCUGGUUCUUCGGCUUUCUCUUCAAUUCGGUAAGUUUCUCCACAUCUUCCCAACAGAGGGAAGACCUUUUCUUCUUGUUCGUGAUAACUAGAGUCAGAGUCUGUUGCUUGCAAUGAAAAACCAUUACAAUACAAAUAUGGCUGAAUGAUAAGCUUGACCGAAUGCUAUUAUAUUUUACAUACUUAUAUAUAACGAUAAUAUACAACAUAUUACAAUUGAUAAGCUUGGUUUAAUGCUAUUAUAGAGAAUGCACAUUCUUUCCAAAUCCCCAUGUAACAGGAACAAAACGAUAUCUUUUUUUUUUUUUUUGAUACGGAGUCUCACUCUGUUGCCCAGGCUGGAGUGCAGUGGUGCGAUCUUGGCUCACUGCAACCUCCACCUCACGGGUUCAAGCAAGUCUCCUGCCUCAGCCUCCCGAGUAGCUGGGACUACAGGCAUGCGCCACCAUGCCCGGCUAAUUUUUUUGUAUUUUUAGUAGAGACGGGGUUUCACCACGUUGGCCACGCUGGUUUUGAACUCCUGACCUCAAGUGAUCCACCUGCCUCAGCCUCCCAAAGUGCUAGGAUUACAGGCAUGAGCCACCAUGCCAGGCCAGAAAUGAUAUCUCUUAGGUAAGACCACACACACACCCCACAUACAAUCAAUAAACCCCCAAAAGUAGAAAUAAACAGGCCACAGUAUAAGACAUAAUAAGACAAAAAAUAGAAAUGAACAACAAAAGCAUAUCCAAUCAUAUUCACUUGUGAAAUAAAAGCUGAAAUUAUACAAAAUUUAGGAAAGAUUAACAGGAACAUUACCUCUAUGACAAUCUGAUAUAAUGAACA